CAGUCGCCGCGGGAAUACGGAGGGUGCAAGCGUUAAUCGGAAUUACUGGGCGUAAAGCGUGCGUAGGCGGUUCGUUAAGUCUGUUGUGAAAGCCCCGGGCUCAACCCCGGAACUGCCUUUGAAACUAGGUGACUAGAAUCUUGGAGAGGUCAGUGGAAUUCCGAGUGUAGAGGUGAAAUUCGUAGAUAUUCGGAAGAACACCAGUGGCGAAGGCGACUGACUGGACAAGUAUUGACGCUGAGGCACGAAAGCGUGGGGAGCAAACAGGAUUAGAUACCCGAGUAGUCCCUGUCUCUUAUAC
rnacentral:rRNA from 1 species